GGAUGCAACCGACUUGUUAUUAAUUCAGACAAUAUGGAAGUAAUAAAUACAAUGAAGAAUGGAGGUUAAUCUGCGGGAGUGGCGGCCGGAGUUUUUGAUGAUUGUUAUUUUUUGGCUUGUGAUUUUCCCCUUACUAGGUUCGAACAUUGUAAUAGGGAGGAAAAUAAGGCCGCUCAUGAACUUGCUAGGUUAGGAAAAUUUUCAGAUAGUAGGGACUGGUUUGAGGAGCCUAACGAUGAGAUUGUACCUUUUAUUAUAGACGAUGUAACCGUUAUUACUAAUUAA
rnacentral:rRNA from 1 species